CUCCUCAAACGAGACUUAGAAAGAGAAGGAUACGAAAAAGUCCUUUUUGCCCUUUGUCUUUCUGCUUUCUUUCGUUGUUUUCCUGUGUUGUUUCUGAAUGGCGAGUUCUUCCAGAACAACAAAAUCUAGCGGACUAGUGCUUCGUUCUUCUCUCUUACCUUCUACCAAAUUCUGUUCUUAUUCAACGUCAAACGCACAGUUUCGUUCGUCUUCGUCUUCGUCAAGUUUCUUUGAAAAUUCUCACUCGCACAUGCCGCACCGUUCGACUUCCCCGACGCGUGUCAACGUAAUCAGCACGGCGCCAUCUCCCUCCGUCCGGUUUGCCCUCGACCGGUCUAUCUCCCCGAGCCGGACCGUGUCGAGCCACGUAAUCGUCAAGAAGAACCACCGCCACGUUACGGUUCAGAAGAAAACGUGCAUGUGUUCCCCUACCAAUCAUCCCGGUUCGUUCCGGUGCAGUCUCCACAAGAACAGUCAACACCACGCAUCGGCUGGUUCGUUCCCCUCAAACCGGCUCAACAUGCGCCGCUCCGCGAUGAAAAACUCGCUCGUCAGAAUCGGAGGCGUCGAAGGUGAGUGGGUGAAACGCGCUCUCACUGCGUUGAUUCGUCCUUCUUCGCACCAACAGAGGAGAAGAUCAGCCUACGAACCGAGACCGAGUCGUCUCUCGAUCAUGUCGAAAUCCGAAGAAGAUCUGUAAAUUUCUUAUCUCUCUCAUUACAGGUUUUGAAUCGCCCUGGGAGAUUCUCCAGUUGCGUUGCUGGAAGAUUUUUGCGUAGAUCUAAGAAGCUGGACUCCAAGAAUUGGUUAUUAAUUCCAGUUAACAAUGGAAUUGACGGAGUUUAUUAUGUUUGCCGUUGCCAUUAAUGUUCCAUCGCGUCUGUGUGAUGAUUUCGUCGUAGCUGCUGUUGCCGUUGACUCCCGUUAUCUUUCGUCCCGUUGUUUUGCGUUUGGUGCCAAGGUAUUUGCUUUAUUUUUAAUUUUUAUUAUUGUUUUCUAUAUUUAUUUAAUUGAAAGUUUGGUUGUGCAGCUGUUUGGUGCAGGGACUUUCAUCGUGGAGCUACAUGGGACAUUUCAAAAAUAUUUAAUGAAAAAUUGGAUAUUUAAAAAUAUAUUUUAAGAAUGAUCUGGAAAGGGGAAACAAGAAAAAGAAAAACUUAACUAUAAAUGUGAGUAAUUAACCAAUAAACAUAUAUUGAUUGAAUGUUACAAUAAUCUUUUGUGAGACAGACAAUGCUAGUUAAGUUGAAUAUUAUUAUCAAAUUACUAAUAUUCGGGUGGUAUUAUUUCCUUCAAAAUAAAACCACACAUUUCACCAUCCUAACUAAUAAUAUUUUGAUUAUAUUUAUUUUAACUUUUAACUGAAAAUCUUAAUAUAUAUUAUUAUAUUAUUAAAGUUUGUCAUAAAGAAUGAGUAUGUUUUUUUAAGAGUGUAAAUUUUAUUUUCCUAUUCUUUAAGUACGCUCCAUUGAUAAUUUCAUGAUUUUAUUGAAUAAACAGUUUUUACUUUUUGCAGGAAGAUUGUUCAGUUCACGUAAAAAGGUACGAUGUUAUUGAAUGGUAGGAAAAAAUAACGUGACAAUUCAAUGAAAAGUACGACAAUAUUAUUAGAUUCUAGAAAACUAAGAAAAUGAGAUGACACGUUACCUGCAAUUUGAAAACUCGUAUAGUAGAUUACGUAUAGAUAUUAAAAUGAACUAUUCUAAUAGGAUUAGUUGGGAGAAAUAAAAUGGGAAAACUAAUUUAGUGAUAAAUAGAAUAUAAAUAAAAAGUUGGAGUAAAAGUUAUUUCUUUUAAAGAUAUUAUUAUUGAAAUUUUUUAUUGCUUUUGGUUUAGUGUUUGGAAUUUAGAUUCAUAUUUUGGACGUAAUAUAAAUUAUUACAUAAAUUGUGAAAUUUUGUUCAAUCGUAAUUCGAUUUUAAACUAUAUGUAUAUUAUGAAUAAUGUUAGGAUUACAAUUUAGAGAAUAUUCUCCAUACACAUAUUGGACCAAACAUAGUUUGCAGUAAUUUGAGAAUUUGACGCUGUGCAAACAUGUGAAAGCUGACCUUCUCAACUUUUGAAUAUGACAGAUGGUACUGAAGAACACAAAGGACUAAAAUGACUAACAACCAAAUUGGGUAAAGAAAAUUAAUCACCUAAUAAAUUGAAAUAUUUUUUCCCUAAAAUGCCUUUUUUAAAUGUUUGCAAAAUUCAAUUAAUUGCUGAAAUAAUUGCAAGAUCUGUUCUCUUUUCUCACAUUUCUUUACAAGUUUGCUAAAAUCAAGUUAUUGCUAGUAUAACCACAAAAUCUUAUCUCUUUUCUUCUUUUUCUGCUCAAAAUUCGAUAAUCUGAAAGUCAGAUGUUGACCUUUUAUCAUGAUACUCCUUUAUGGAAAAAUUGUUCGAAAUUCGGUCCCUCAAGUCAAAUUUUGAGAUA